ensembl:lncRNA
CUCCAAUUUGGCACACAGUUUAGCAGACACCUUCUCUGAGCCCUCCCUGAGCCUUUUGAACAACUGCGCCCCCGGAUUUAGCUCCGGCUGAGCACGGAGAGGAGCGGGAGCUGACUCCUGUUCCUGGAGCUCAUCUGUUCCCUGCCCCUGAACUCCCCUAAGCUCAGCCUGGCCUCCAGCCAAGCCAGCCUAAACUCCUCAGGAAGGAAAUUGCUGCAAAGAUCUAUUCUAAGCUCUAUUUCCAGGAGUGAGUGUGAGCUGCUGCUGCUGCCCUCCAAGAAACAAACCCUUCAUCCAUCUUUACAUUUUUAUCGGUGUGACAUCUCUGCACCACCAGGCACUUCCAGAAUCCCUUCAGCUGCUGAUCACUCCCAGCCUGCCGGCACAAAGGCGGUCUCUGCUGAUUUCUUCCCCUUUUUUUGCCUUUUGCUUUCCUUGCCUUUUCACUUGGCGCCUCUCUUGUGCCACCCUUUCACGCCUGCCUGUUACAUCCUCCCCCUCCUUCUCUCACUCCCUGUCAGGACCCGGUUGUGGCGCUUCUCUCCCUACCCACAGGGCUGGUUUUAAGUGGAAAAACCGGUUUCGGGCAGUCUUGGCCAUGCCCUGAGUGGUUCUGGCUGAGGAUUGCAGAGCAGACAGCUCAACCUGCGCUGUUUGCUCUGACACUUGGUGCUCACUGCACACACAGAGCCGGCCGUGAGCAGCGGGUGUUUAUUCCAAAUUCAUUUACCAACACUCUGCAGGGCAAUGGGGAGUUUAAUCCAUCAAGUUACACAGCAGAGAGUUUGGACAAAUUGCAGGAUAUUAAAGUCCCACCUUCUUUACCUGGGCAAAAUAAUACAGACAUCAACCAACUGUUUUCUCUCAUAUUUGCCAUGUCAGUAUUUUGAAGCAUUUUCAUAUUCUUUUAUGGCAAUAAAGAAAUUUUAUUCAUAAAUUAAUAAAAUAAUCUUUUAUGGUGAUAAAUUAAAGCUGCUUGUCUGACCGUUGUGGCUCUGAGAGGGUUUUGGGGUGGUUUCCUUCCUUCCUUCCUUCCUUCCUUCCUUCCUUCCUUCCUUCCUUCCUUCCUUCCUUCCUUCCUUCCUUCCCCUCCUUCUUUUCCCCCUCUUCCCACCUUCUUUCUGCCUUUUUCCUCUUCUUUUCCCCUUCUUAGUUUCCCCUUCUUUUUCCUCUUCUUAGCUUCCCCUUCUUUUUCCUCUUCUUUUCCCCUUCUCUUUCCUCUUCUUUCUCCCUUCUUCUCCCCCUCUUCCUCCCUCUUUUGCCCCCUUUUCCCCCUUCUUUCCCCCCUUCUUUCCCCCCUGUUUCCCCGCUCUUUCCCUCAUUCCCGGCCCUCCCAGCAGCAAUCCGUAGGGGUGCCCCGAGCAUCCCCGCGCUGUUUCAUCCCUGCCUGUGUUCCCUCGCAGGGAAGAUGCCGAGGCACCCAAGGCGCACCUGGUCAAACCCAGCUCCUCCUCCUCCGGCUCCCGCAGCUCCCGCUCGGGCUCUUCCUCCACCAGAUCCACAGCCAACAGUGCCUCCCGCAGCCAGCGGACUUUGUCCACCGAAGCCACGCCGCACCUGACCCCUCCGCAGUGCGGCCAGCGGCCGGCGGAGAGGAAGGAGCCGGAGCUGCGCAGGGGGGACUGCGGCCAGGUGAAGGCGGCAGCGAUGGUGGCAGCGCAGAGCCGAGCCUUCCAGACCGUGUGAGCCGGCCCGGAGCAUCCCCCGGCCCGCAGCAUCGCCCGGCCCGGAGCAUCCUCCACGUGGAGCAUCCCCCAGCCCGCAGCAUCCCCGGCCCGGAGCAUCCCCCAGCCCGGAUCAUCCCCCAGCCCGCAGCAUCCCCCGCCCGCAGCAUCCCCCACCCGCAGCGCCACUUCUCACAGCACGGCCACUUCACAUCGCUCGGGCAGCUCGCCCUCUUCAUGGCCACCUUCAUCCUCCUCACUCGGGAUUAUCCACACCACGAGAAGCCCUCCCACUCGAUUCUUUCUGAGCGUCAACGAGGUGCUGAUACACACUUGAUUGGAGAGAAAAGGGAGCUUCUUUUUAAAGAAUCUUUUUUCUUUUUGUUUGUUUGGUUUUUUUUCUUUGAAAAUGAAACACUGAGAUUUAAAACCUACGACAGCAAAGAUGUGCUGUCAAGUGAAACUGUAUGAGUGAAAAGAAGCCAAACCUCAGGAUUUUUUUAAAAGGGAUCAACAAAGACUUAAAGAUGCAAAAUAUUCCAGAGAGGUUUUGUGGGCAGGGAAAAGUCUCUUGGACUGGUUUGGGAGAAGUUUCUCGAAGAUGUGGUGUCUUAAGUGAAGAUUUUGAGACUGAGGGUGUCCAGCCUCAAAGGGAACUGACAGGUGCUUCACAUUUUCUGCAUUCGGUGACAUACUGGAGGCUGUAACUAAAGUGGAAAUUAAAGGAUCACUCCCAAAGGCCAAGAAAUGCAGUAUUAAGGUGUCUGAACUAAACUCUGUACUAAAGAGAAAGGACCUUUUCCGUCAAGAAAACAGAGGUGCUUUAAUUGCCAGAAUAAACUUUGGGCCAGGAGCCUGACUCCA